GUUCCUCUUGAUCUUGGUGAUAGUGAGUGCGUGGAAUACUUCAAGGCGACGAGGGCUCGGGAUUGGACUGAGGUGAGGCGAUCGGAGGUUUGGCAGUGCAUCCCGUUUAUUGACUCAGCUUGUUUGAGGAAGG